rnacentral:rRNA from 1 species
UACGUAGGGUGCGAGCGUUGUCCGGAAUUAUUGGGCGUAAAGAGCUCGUAGGCGGUGUGUCACGUCGAUCGUGAAAACUUGGGGCUUAACCCUGAGCUUGCGGUCGAUACGGGCAUCACUGGAGUUCGGCAGGGGAGACUGGAAUUCCUGGUGUAGCGGUGAAAUGCGCAGAUAUCAGGAGGAACACCGGUGGCGAAGGCGGGUCUCUGGGCCGAUACUGACGCUGAGGAGCGAAAGCGUGGGGAGCGAACAGG